AUGGGCAGGCAUCUAGAGCAGUUGGCACCCCCAGUGUUUUGGAAAUUCACCCCUGAACAACUGCAAAAUCCUCAAAAACUGGCAGAAUGCUUGAAAAAAAGGUGUGAUGACUCUGGCAGUUCCAAACUAACACAAAUCAUUGUAACGUGCUGGAGCCUGGCUUAUGCCUAUCGAGAUGUCGUGGAUACUGCUAUCAACUUAGUGACAGACCCUGUGGCCACUCCAAGUCCCGUGACAGAUCCAACGGCCACUGUGACCCCUACGGUGGACUCUGCAGCUGCUCCAGUUCCAGUUCCUACAACUGCUCCAGUUCCAGUUCCUGCAGCUGCUUCAGUCCCAGCUCCUGCAGCCGCUCCAGUCCCAGCUCCUGCAACUGCUCCAGCUCCAGUUCAAGCUCCAGUUCCUGCAGCCGCUCCAGCUCCUGUGGUUGUGUCAGAGAAACGAGCUGUAGCAGUGCAAGUUGACCCUGCAGAGGAUAUUCCAACCCCUGUAGCAGACCCUGUAACAGGGUCAGAGAAACGAGCUGUAGCAGUGCAAGCUGCCCCUGUAGAGAAGGUGAAAAAAUGGUAUAGAGAUUCAGGUCGUUUAGAACGCAGAGAGUCUUCUGCCAAAUCUAAGUAUAGAGAUGACGAUGAUGAUGCUGGGCCAUCAGGGAUUCAGGAGGAGGAAGAUGAGGAUGUCGAAAAAUCAACAGUAACUACCCGAAGCCUAAACGAGCGUGAGUUACGAGAUGUGCGAAAAGAUUUUGGUCGCUGUAUAGGUGAGCAGCUUGUCACCUGGCUGCUCCGAUGCUGGGACUCUGGAGCCAAUUGUGUGGAAUUAGAUGGCAGGGAAGCCAAGCGACUAGGAUCCCUUGCUAGAGACGCAGGCAUUGACAAAGCAAUUUCAGAUGGAGCACAAUCUCACAGCCUCUCGAGGCGUCUCCUCUCAGCUGUGAGGGAAAGGUAUCCCUUCAAGGAAGAACUUUUAUGUCUACCAGGCAAGUGGACCACUAUGGAGAAGGGAAUCCAGUACCUGAGAGAAUUAACCGUACGGGAAGUGAUUUAUGAGGAUCCAGACCUCGGACAAACAUCCAAAGAUCCAGAUGAAGUCAGGUGUACACAACCCAUGUGGCGGAAGUUUGUACGAAGUGCACCAUCGUCAUAUGCCAGCUCAUUGGCAAUAAUGGCCUGGAAAGAGGAUGAGGAACCCACAGUGGAUGAAGUGGCUAAACAACUCCGGCAGUACGAAGAAAGUCUCUCCUCUUCCUUACAGGCCUGCGUCUCAGCUGUGGAGAAACUUUCUGAAGAGUUCCACCAACUUAAAGAGAAUCUAUCUUCCUCCCCAUCUGAACCAACCAGUGUCCACUGA
rnacentral:lncRNA from 1 species